AGUGAACGCUGGCGGUAGGCCUAACACAUGCAAGUCGAACGGCAGCAUAGUAAGAGCUUGCUCUUACGGGUGGCGAGUGGCGGACGGGUGAGGAAUACAUCGGAAUCUACUUUUUCGUGGGGGAUAACGUAGGGAAACUUACGCUAAUACCGCAUACGACCUACGGGUGAAAGCAGGGGAUCCUCGGACCUUGCGCGAUUGAAUGAGCCGAUGUCGGAUUAGCUAGUUGGCGGGGUAAAGGCCCACCAAGGCGACGAUCCGUAGCUGGUCUGAGAGGAUGAUCAGCCACACUGGAACUGAGACACGGUCCAGACUCCUACGGGAGGCAGCAGUGGGGAAUAUUGGACAAUGGGCGCAAGCCUGAUCCAGCCAUACCGCGUGGGUGAAGAAGGCCUUCGGGUUGUAAAGCCCUUUUGUUGGGAAAGAAAAGCAGCAGGUUAAUACCCCGCUGUUCUGACGGUACCCAAGGAAUAAGCACCGGCUAACUUCGUG
rnacentral:rRNA from 1 species